UAACCUGCCCAAGAGAUCGGGAUAACACCUGGAAACAGAUGCUAAUACCGGAUAACAAUAGAUGAUGCCUAUCAACUGUUUAAAAGAUGGUUCUGCUAUCACUCUUGGAUGGACCUGCGGUGCAUUAGCUAGUUGGUAGGGUAACGGCCUACCAAGGCGAUGAUGCAUAGCCGAGUUGAGAUACUGAUCGGCCACAUUGGGACUGAGACACGGCCCAAACUCCUACGGGAGGCAGCAGGC
rnacentral:rRNA from 1 species